CAAUAGCGUAUAUUAAAGUUGUUGCAGUUAAAAAGCUCGUAGUUGGAUUUCUGGUGGGAGCGAUCGGUCUGGCGCUUAGCGCGAGUACUUGCAUCGUCUCCGGCCAUCCUUGGGGAGAGUCUGUCUGGCAUUAAGUUGUCGGGCAGGGGAUCCUCAUCGUUUACUGUGAAAAAAUUAGAGUGUUCAAAGCAGGCUUAUGCCGUUGAAUAUAUUAGCAUGGAAUAAUAAGAUAGGACUUUGGUACUAUUUUGUUGGUUUGCGCACCAAAGUAAUGAUUAAUAGGGACAGUUGGGGGUAUUCGUAUUCCGUUGUCAGAGGUGAAAUUCUUGGAUUUACGGAAGACGAACUACUGCGAAAGCAUUUACCGAGGAUGUUUUCAUUAA
rnacentral:rRNA from 1 species